ensembl:lncRNA SCN1A-AS1 SCN1A and SCN9A antisense RNA 1
AGAAAUCAGGCCAAGUAAUGUUGAAGAGAAAACAAGGUCCAGUAGCACUACUUCCUUUUAGAAGAUAAGAAUAAACAGAUUUAAAAUGGCAAGCUCAAUAAUUUUACCCUAACAAAAAAUGAGUGAAACAAGCUUCUGGUUCAAGAGUUUCUUCAGGUUCCACUACGGGCUGUUCUUCUACAGGUGCGCCGAUGUCCACAGUGCUACCUUCUGAUGAGCUACUGCUUUCAUUCAGUUUCUGCUGACUUAAUAUGUGAGCUGACAGAAUGCAGAGACCACGUUGUAUAUGAAGCAUCCACUUUGCCUUGUACACCAGGGCAUUCAAUAACCACUUAAUAACUACAACCCUGAUGAUCCGAUUCACUACUAAAGUCUUCCGUGUUUAAAUUUUCAAAGUCAGAUUCUCCUACAGCAAUUGGUACAGUCACAGUAAGACUGGGGUUGUUUAUGAAUGACAUGUAAUCACUUUCAUCAAUAAUGUAUUUUUCAACACUGCUGCCAGUUCCUAUACCACUUGUAGUUCCAUUUACAUCUUUAAGAUAGUCAAGAUCUUUCCCAAUUUCUGCUGUAUGAUUGGACAUACAACUGUCUUUCUUGUUGUUUAGAUCAUCAAGUGGUUUAAUUUCAUCUAAAAUCUUUUGUUUCCUAAUGAAGGACUGUUGAAUAAAUUCAUAUAUUUUUCUUUUCACAUAA